rnacentral:sRNA from 1 species
UAUAAAUUAUGGUACAACAAUCAACAAAAUCCACUAGGCAUCUUUAUUAGUAAUAAAGAUGCCUAGUGGAUUUUGUUGAUUGUUGUACCU